CUCAUUGGAUAGAUGGUAGAGUUCAUCCAUUUUUAUUCUAUUGGUUCUUCUUCUUACUGAGGUGUUGAUGCAUGAUGAUCAAAAACCUCUUGAUGUCUUCUUCUUCUUCUUCUGCCUAACUGAAGAAGGCAUUACCCACAGUGCAGUAUAAAACCUUACUCGUCAGCAUUUGUCCUCCAAGAAAUUGACCAUACAUGGCUUCAAUUAUUCUUCCCACAUAAGAUUGGGAAAAUAAAGGUAAAAAUCUCCACUCACUUGCAAGUCGACAAGGUUCUUCUUCUUCUGCUGCCUAACUGAAGAAGGCAUUGCCCACAGGGCAAUAUAAAACCUUACUCGUCAGCAUUUGUCCUCCAAGAAAUUGAUCAUACAUGGCUUCAAUUAUUCUUCCCAAAUAAGUUUCGGAAAAUAAAGGUAAAACUCUCCACUCACUGGCAAGUCGACAAGGGCAUGCACAUUUCAUGUGAUAGAUGAAGCUCCUUCUUACUACCUUUCGAGAGGAAGGAACUGGUUACAUCAGCAUCAGGCUAUAGCUUCUAUAUGUCACUUGUCUCCGUCGUCGUCGUCCUCCUCCUCCUCCUCCUCCUCCUCCUCCUCCUCCUCCUCCUCCUCCUCCUCCUCCUCCUCCUCCUCCUUCUUCUUCUUGAGUUUUAGCUAUUGCACUUCUGAACUUGUCAUGUAAACUUCUAUAUUCUUUAGAGAGCAUGAUGAUAUUAGGCAGACUCAACUUCUUCUUCGAAAUCAUCCUUGCCUUUGGGACUGUUGCAUAGAAGGCUCUUUGUAAAAUAAUCUUUUUGUAGCAUCAAGAGUUUUCUUCUGAUCCUUUGCUUCUCAAAGACAUGUUUCUUCAUUUAACUUCUUUAUAAAUCCUUUGCCUUUUCUUUUGUCGUCUAUCCAUCUAGUCUUCUAAUUUCAUAUCUUUUUUUAAUCAGGUGAGGUGAUUUCUCUUGUACUUUCUCUUCUUCUCAUUUUAGAUGUAUUGGCCCCUUAGGAUUCCAUGAGCUUCGUCAACCAAUUCUAUCUUCAAAUAACCUUUUGAUCAUCAACAAACCUUUGAUACUCUAAUCUUGAUACAUGCUUGAUGGAAGUUGUGGCUUGUAUCCUCUCCUGUCAUCUUUGAUCUUUUGUACCUAAUAUUGGAUAAAGUUUUAAAUGGCAUAAGAUCAUUAACUUUUAUAGAUUUGCCUUUUGUCUUCAUAAAAACCAUACAUUAAGACUGUUUUCCCAAACAUUGACACUUGUUUUCUUCUAAGACCUCGUGUUUGGAGGGUGGAACAACCUUCUCAUAAAAGGUUGCAUGAUAUAAACCGCUUCCCAAUGAACAUCACCUAGACACACUACACCAGAAAAGGGCUUUUACAGCGCCUCUUUUACAGCGGUUUCCGGGUGAACCGCUCUAAAUAAAUGUACGGAGCGGUGUUAACAUCGUUUACAGCGGCUGAAAUAGAUAUGCAUUUCUCUCUCUCUCUCUCUCUCUCCCUCUCCCUCUCUCUUUAUCUCUCUCACUCGCUCUCUAUCUCUCACACACACAUGUACUCUUUCGUUCUUUGCGAGCUAGGGUUUCAAGGGACCAAGGUUGAAGAUGGAUAGAGGGAAAGUCUUCCUUGACUACCACAGGUCACAUCUUUGAUUUCCCACCGCCAUGACAGGACGUCGUAGCUCAUACCAUCGUCAGCAGCCAGCCCACCACCACUCCCAUUGGUAUGAUUUUGGCAUCUCUAUGAAGGGUUUACCUUCUUUUAAUUUAUCCUCUUUUCUUAAAAAAUUGAUUUGGCUGUCUAAUCCAAAGGAUUGAGUCAUAGUCAGACCCUAUUGAGAGCUAAUUGCUACAAUAGAGUUAAACUCCCCUGACAUAGAUUUGCUGCUGCGCACCGUUAUCCAGGAUUGACAACAUUGAUAGAAUUUCUACUAACGUGGAUAGAAUUGAAAGACUUACUGCAUAGCAUACCUCGUUUAAAUGUUCAAUAUAUUUUAAAUUUUAUUAGAAACCAGGUACAUCAGAUUUGUUAGUUUAAUGCUGCAUGGAGUGUAUUUUACAUGUUAGCUGAUCUAUGUACUAUAUAUGCUAUUGAUUUAUCCUCACAUUCACAAGCCAUUAAUUCUGAGAUUCUGAUAGUUGGAGUUGUAUCUUUUGCAACCUUUUAUGUAUGGAGCGGGUCAAACGCCCCCUGGAAUGCCCAUGAUGCCUAUGCUUCUAGCUGAUGGACACAUUGUAUAUGUCUUCUGAGUAGAACUGCAAAUCGUUUGUGUGAAUUCCUAUAAUUUGAGCAUUUGCUUAUUUCUCUUUUAGAUAUUUUAAUGGCAUAAAAUAAACUGAAGGUGAUCUUGACACUUUCUUUUUUGUUUUGCACUUAUUUGUGUGGCAUCAGUUAGAUGAUCAAUUAGAGAUUUCUAGUCUUGGAGAAGAACAUAUAUAAGGAGAUGAAAAUGUGAUUUUAAGCAAUAAACUCUGGUGUCUACAUGAAACUAAAAACAACUUUGUACCCCAGGAAAGGGCAAUGCAGGAGCAGAACAACAAGCUAGCAAAUACUGGAUGAAGAGAAAGAGAAGAAACUAACAGAACAUCCACCUACCCAGCUGCCCAGAAACCACUUGCAAAUGUUCAUCCACCUCCAACUUAUAUUCUUCAAAGCUAAUGACACCAAAAAGACAAUAUCCUUCUCUAACUCACAGGAAUGCAGGUUUUUGAGAACUUAUCAUGCAUAAUCUGAAUGCUAUUGGAAGGUAUAACAUGUUCCUUGAUGGUAACCUAUUCAUGCUUAUUUUUUUAAUGGCAUAGUUAUGCUAAAUUAUACUUGGUAGAGAAGUCUAGAAAGAUACAAAAUAAAAUAUCAGCAAUUUCAGGUUGUCAUUCAUUUUUGGAUUUGAUUGAGUUAUUAUGCAAGCAUACAUUAGAAUUUAAAUUCUGUUAGAGCUUAUUGUAUUCUUAAGUUUUUGAUAUCUUAUUUUAGAAAAAUGAGGUUCAGUGAAUGAUGAUGUAAAAAUAACACCUAAACAAAAACUCUCAUGUUUAGGUGAAUUAUAGUUAUUGAUAUGUUGAAGUUAGAAAAUGUUGAUUCUAUAUGGCUAUUCGUUGAUAUGCUGUAAUUUAGAAAAAUGUUGAUCUUAUGGUUGAACAAGAGAGGCUGCACAAAAAAACUGUAAUGGAGGACUCAAUUACAACGGUCAAAGAUAAAAAACCGCUGUAAAAAUUGAGCCAAGUACAGCGGUUAAGCACCAGAACCACUGUUGUAGGUCAUUAUUUACAGCGGUUAUUCUAAAUUAACCGCUGUAAAUACUGCAUCUUUUACAGCGAUUCGAACCGCUGUUA